rnacentral:lncRNA from 1 species
UCCUCUACCAGCGAUGGCGGUGUGCUGCCCGAGGUAGCGGCGGCGCAUUAUACGAGGUGGCAGUGCCCGGUCGGUGCACUGCAGGAUAGCUUAUAGGCACACAGGCUUGUCGUUGCGUGCGCAGCCCGAAGGCGCACAAGGCUUGUCUACGCAGGCUUGCUUUACGGAUGGCCCGAGCAAAGUGUGUGGUGCUUGUCUGUUCACAAAGUGAUGCGCAGACGAUCUGCAUG